UACGGAGGGUGCGAGCGUUGUUCGGAAUCACUGGGCUUAAAGGGCGCGUAGGCGGGCCGUCCAGUCAGGGGUGAAAUCCUCCAGCUUAACUGGAGAACAGCUUUUGAUACUGACGGCCUCGAGGGGGGUAGGGGCAUGUGGAACUUCCGGUGGAGCGGUGAAAUGCGUAGAUAUCGGAAGGAACGCCGGUGGCGAAAGCGACGUGCUGGACCCUUUCUGACGCUGAGGCGCGAAAGCCAGGGGAGCAAACGGG
rnacentral:rRNA from 1 species